AUUGAACGCUGGCGGCAGGCCUAACACAUGCAAGUCGAACGGUAGCACAGAGAGCUUGCUCUCGGGUGACGAGUGGCGGACGGGUGAGUAACGUCUGGGAAACUGCCCGAUGGAGGGGGAUAACUACUGGAAACGGUAGCUAAUACCGCAUAACGUCGCAAGACCAAAGUGGGGGACCUUCGGGCCUCACACCAUCGGAUGUGCCCAGAUGGGAUUAGCUAGUAGGUGGGGUAAUGGCUCACCUAGGCGACGAUCCCUAGCUGGUCCGAGAGGAUGACCAGCCACACUGGAACUGAGACACGGUCCAGACUCCUACGGGAGGCAGCAGUGGGGAAUAUUGCACAAUGGGCGCAAGCCUGAUGCAGCCAUGCCGCGUGUAUGAAGAAGGCCUUCGGGUUGUAAGGUACUUUCAGCGGGGAGGAAGGCGGUGAAGUUAAUAACUUCACCGAUUGACGUUACCCGCAGAAGAAGCACCGGCUAACUCCGUGCCAGCCGCCGCUGUAA
rnacentral:rRNA from 1 species